rnacentral:rRNA from 1 species
GAUGAACGCUGGCGGCGUGCCUAAUACAUGCAAGUCGAGCGAACGGACGAGAAGCUUGCUUCUCUGAUGUUAGCGGCGGACGGGUGAGUAACACGUGGAUAACCUACCUAUAAGACUGGGAUAACUUCGGGAAACCGGAGCUAAUACCGGAUGAUAUUUUGAACCGCAUGGUUCAAAAGUGAAAGACGGUCUUGCUGUCACUUAUAGAUGGAUCCGCGCUGCAUUAGCUAGUUGGUAAGGUAACGGCUUACCAAGGCAACGAUGCAUAGCCGACCUGAGAGAGUGAUCGGCCACACUGGAACGUAGACACGGUCCAGACUCCUACGAGAGGCAGCAGUAGGGAAUCUUCCGCAAUGGGCGAAAGCCUGACGGAGCAACGCCGCGUGAGUGAUGAAGGUCUUCGGAUCGUAAAACUCUGUUAUUAGUGAAGAACAUAUGUGUAAGUAACUGUGCACAUCUUGACGGUACCUAAUCAGAAAGCCACGGCUAACUACGUG